rnacentral:ncRNA from 1 species
CAGAGUAGGGAAUAAGGCGUCAAGUGCCGCGCGGACGGGGAGUUGCCGCGCGGACGAAAGGAUAAUCCUGCGGCCGUGUUCCCGCAUCCCGCUGU